GUGUCAGCCGCCGCGGUAAGACGGAGGAUGCAAGCGUUAUCCGGAAUGAUUGGGCGUAAAGCGUCCGCAGGUGGCAAUUCAAGUCUGCUGUUAAAGCGCAGGGCUUAACUCUGUAAAGUCAGUGGAAACUGAAUAGCUAGAGUGUGGUAGGGGCAGAGGGAAUUCCCAGUGUAGCGGUGUAAUGCGUAGAGAUUGGGAAGAACAUCGGUGGCGAAGGCGCUCUGCUGGACCAUAACUGACACUCACAGGACGAAAGCUAGGGGAGCGAAUGGGAUUAGAUACCCCAGUAGUCCUAGCCGUAAACGAUGGAUACUAGGUGUUGUCUGUAUCGACCCGGACAGUGCCGUAGCUAACGCGUUAAGUAUCCCGCCUGGGGAGUACGCACGCAAGUGUGAAACUUAAAGGAAUUGACGGGG
rnacentral:rRNA from 1 species